rnacentral:lncRNA from 1 species
UUCGGGAGUCACAUUUGAAGAGAGGGAAGGCAAGGACGGAGGCCAAGGCACCCUCUCAACCUAGCCAAGGCUAGUUGCGCGAUUUUAGUCAAAGGUUUUCUUAUUUUAACCUAAAAAUUUAUUGCAUUUGGAUGCACUAUAUGAAUGCAAACCCUAGAUCUAAUGAUGAAUCGAGUGGGACAAAUAUCUCUUAGAGGUUCGAUUGGACUAAAUCACACAAGUUGUGAUAGCCAAGGAUGAGCCCUCCAAGAGGUCACGAAUAAUGCUAAUGACGUAAGAAUGAGUGGAAUGAAUGUAUGUAAUGUGAAAACAUGAGCUUGUGUGAAGUGAAAAAGUAAUAAUAGUAAUAAAAAAACAAUAGUGUGUAAGUGGAAGUGUGCAAAUGAGUGUGCAAUGUGAGGUAUGUAAAGUGAUAGUGUGAAAUGUAUGUGUGUAGCAUAAAAUGCAUGUGUGCAAGUGAUAGUAUGUAAAGUGCGAGUGGUAGAGUGAAAAUGUACAAAAAUAAGAGUUGCGUGAAAUGAUAGGGGGUAAAUGAAAUGCAUGAAUUCUAGAGGAAUGCAAGCAAGAUGGGUACGGGGAGACCCUAAGUCGUGACUUUUAAUUUGCCUUUUGGUUAGAAGGAAAAACUAGCGUGCUAAGGCUAUGUGUAGCCAUACUCGCUCGUUUCCCUUACCAGAAGGGUGACUCCCUAAC